rnacentral:sRNA from 1 species
GUGCAAUAGCGAUAGUAACGGUUAUCCUUUUGUUUUUUAUUGGAUCUGGCAAAGGCAAAAAACAAAAGAUAAUAGUGGAUAGCGCGACCCAAG